rnacentral:rRNA from 3 species
GUGGACGCCAGUCUGCGUGGAGCCGACCUUGAAAUACCACCCUUUAAUGUUUGAUGUUCUAACGUGGACCCGUGAUCCGGGUUGCGGACAGUGUCUGGUGGGUAGUUUGACUGGGGCGGUCUCCUCCUAAAGAGUAACGGAGGAGCACGAAGGUUGGCUAAUCCUGGUCGGACAUCAGGAGGUUAGUGCAAUGGCAUAAGCCAGCUUGACUGCGAGCGUGACGGCGCGAGCAGGUGCGAAAGCAGGUCAUAGUGAUCCGGUGGUUCUGAAUGGAAGGGCCAUCGCUCAACGGAUAAAAGGUACUCCGGGGAUAACAGGCUGAUACCGCCCAAGAGUUCAUAUCGACGGCGGUGUUUGGCACCUCGAUGUCGGCUCAUCACAUCCUGGGGCUGAAGUAGGUCCCAAGGGUAUGGCUGUUCGCCAUUUAAAGUGGUACGCGAGCUGGGUUUAGAACGUCGUGAGACAGUUCGGUCCCUAUCUGCCGUGGGCGCUGGAGAACUGAGGGGGGCUGCUCCUAGUACGAGAGGACCGGAGUGGACGCAUCACUGGUGUUCGGGUUGUCAUGCC